rnacentral:sRNA from 4 species
ACUCAACGUUAAUUCUUUAAAAAGGGUGAGUUUAAGUUGUAAAAGCAUGCUGCCUUAGUCGCAGAUCCUUGAUCAGCUUGUUAGCCCUAAACUUGUUUUUAAGGAGUUU